AUUGAACGCUGGCGGCAUGCUUUACACAUGCAAGUCGAACGGUAACAGGGUGCUUGCACCGCUGACGAGUGGCGAACGGGUGAGUAAUGCGUCGGAACGUGCCGAGUAGUGGGGGAUAACGCAGCGAAAGUUGUGCUAAUACCGCAUACGUACUGAGGUAGAAAGUGGGGGACCUUCGGGCCUCACGCUAUUCGAGCGGCCGACGUCUGAUUAGCUAGUAGGUGAGGUAAAGGCUCACCUAGGCGACGAUCAGUAGCGGGUCUGAGAGGGUGAACGGCCACACUGGGACUGAGACACGGCCCAGACUCCUACGGGAGGCAGCAGUAGGGAAUUUUCCACAAUGGGGGCAACCCUGGUGGAGCAAUGCCGCGUGAGAGAAGAAGGCCUUCGGGUUGUAAAUCUCUGUAGUAAGGGAGGAACAGUAUAAGUAGGAAAUGGCUUAUACCUGACAAUACCUUACGAGAAAGCCACGGCUAACUACGUGCCAGCCGCCGCAGUAA
rnacentral:rRNA from 1 species